GACGAACGCUGGCGGCGUGCCUAAUACAUGCAAGUUGAGCGCUGAAGGUUGGUACUUGUACCAACUGGAUGAGCAGCGAACGGGUGAGUAACGCGUGGGGAAUCUGCCUUUGAGCGGGGGACAACAUUUGGAAACGAAUGCUAAUACCGCAUAAAAACUUUAAACACAAGUUUUAAGUUUGAAAGAUGCAAUUGCAUCACUCAAAGAUGAUCCCGCGUUGUAUUAGCUAGUUGGUGAGGUAAAGGCUCACCAAGGCGAUGAUACAUAGCCGACCUGAGAGGGUGAUCGGCCACAUUGGGACUGAGACACGGCCCAAACUCCUACGGGAGGCAGCAGUAGGGAAUCUUCGGCAAUGGACGAAAGUCUGACCCAGCAACGCCGCGUGAGUGAAGAAGGUUUUCGGAUCGUAAAACUCUGUUGGUAGAGAAGAACGUUGGUGAGAGUGGAAAGCUCAUCAAGUGACGGUAACUACCCAGAAAGGGACGGCUAACUACGU
rnacentral:rRNA from 1 species